rnacentral:rRNA from 1 species
AGUGAACGCUGGCGGUAGGCCUAACACAUGCAAGUCGAACGGCAGCACAGUAAGAGCUUGCUCUUACGGGUGGCGAGUGGCGGACGGGUGAGGAAUACAUCGGAAUCUACUUUUUCGGGGGGGAUAACGUAGGGAAACUUACGCUAAUACCGCAUACGACCUACGGGUGAAAGCAGGGGAUCUUCGGACCUUGCGCGAUUGAAUGAGCGGAUGUCGGAUUAGCUAGUUGGCGGGGUAAAGGCCCACCAAGGCGACGAUCCGUAGCUGGUCUGAGAGGAUGGUCGCCCACCCUGGAACUGAGACACGGUCCAGACUACUAAGGGAGGCAGCAGUGGGGAAUAGUGGACAAUGGGCGCAAGCCUGAUCCAGCCAUACCGCGUGUGUGAAGAAGGCCUUCGGGUUGUAAAGCCCUUUUGUUGGGAAAGAAAAGCAGCAGGUUAAUACCACGCUGUUCUGACGGUACCCAAAGAAUAAGCACCGGCUAACUUCGUG